rnacentral:misc_RNA from 1 species
GAUGAAGAACGCAGCGAAAUGCGAUAAUUAAUGUGAAUUGCAGAAUUCAGUGAAUCAUCGAGUCUUUGAACGCACAUUGCGCCUUAUGGCUAUUCUGUAAGGCAUGCCUGUCUGAGCGUCAGCAAAAACCUCAAGGUAGUAUGAUGGCUUUUUUUUUACAUAAAAAGCCUCUUAUCUUGGAUCUUGUCAAGAGAGUGAACUCUUUUGUAGAGUUUACUUCUUGGAAAAUGAUAGAUGGUCAGAAGUAUUGCUUUUAACCAAAUGUGAUAAGAAUUAUUCAUUUGAAAGUUUAUUGAAUACUUUUUGAUCAAAUCUUGAGAAAAAAAAGAAAAAAAAGCUUUAUGGCUUUUUUUGAUUUACUUGACCUCAGAUCAGGUAGGGAUACCCGCUGAACUUAAGCAUAUCAAUAAGCGGAGGA